GUACUCUCACACUCCCGAUCUUGUUGGGAGCGGUGGACUUGGGUGCUGCUGCUUACGCGGCUCACCUCAAAUGGAUUCGUGCAUCUCUUGGUUGGACAUAGUACGGCGUGAUAAGUGUUUCGCCGGCGCCUCACUCGAGGGUGGCCGAUCGGGAGCUCUGUGCUUCUAACCGUCCUCGGACACACCUGACA
rnacentral:misc_RNA from 1 species